rnacentral:misc_RNA from 1 species
AAAUACCACUCAAGCUCUUCUGCUUGGUCAUGGAAGAAGAGUAUGCUUGCAUCCUCUCUUCUGAAAUUGAAUGGCGGACCGCCUCAUGUGCCUCGCGUAGUAAGUUCAUCUUUUCGCUGGGAGCGUGAGACAGUCUCGCCAUCAACCCCCAUACUUCUAAGGUUGACCUCGGAUCAGGUAGGGAUACCCGCUGAACUUAA